rnacentral:lncRNA from 1 species
UCUAACUAGAAUCUUUACUUUCUGUAAGAAUAAAAUAUCAGCUUUUAACCCUCUAGCUUGUAUUUUUGAAACUAAAAGUCUAACCGGAUCAAAUUAUAAAGACUGACUCAAAAAUCUAAAAUAAUUUUUAGUUCUAAGAAGUUAAGCUAAAUUCUUGACCAAGAUAUCACCACGUUACCGAACUAUUUGAUGGUUGACCAAAGGGUAGUAUAUCCAUGGUCAUUGUUUGACAAUAAUCAAGACUUAGAGGAGCUUGAGAAGCCAGCAUGAGAUGCAUAAGGAAUGGUUAGUGGAUUUGAUCCUGUAAUUUUUUUUUGAUUCAUAAGAAUAGCUAAUAGUAAACUACCAUAUGAAUAAGAUUACUGCACCAAGGUCGAAUUGAUAGCUGUUGAAGGGGCAUUGAAGAGUUCAAGAGGCAUGGUUCUCUUUGUGGAGCGAGCUACUUCAACCAAUAGAAAGUCUAAUUAGAAGAAGAAGAAGCUCAUGAAAAAGCAAAAGAUAGAGAAUAAGUCAAAAAAGAAAGUUUAUAAGAAAAAGGUCACUAGCAAGGGAAAGUGUUUCUACUAUAAUGUUGACGGCCAUUGGAAAAGGAAUUAUCUCGUAUACCUAGAGUUCUUAAAGAACAAUAAGAACAUGCCUUUGGAAGUUGUGUUAGACCUACUUGUGAAACUAUAUCACUUGUAUAUGGAUAUAUCUGUGAAUGUUUUUGAGCAAGUAGUGAAUACUGUAGGAUCUAAGAGAUCCACAAAUGAGAUGAACCUAAAAUAUAUGUGGCACAUCAAGCUUAGUUAUUAGAA